rnacentral:rRNA from 1 species
UACGUAGGGGGCUAGCGUUGUCCGGAUUUAUUGGGCGUAAAGAGCGUGUAGGCGGCCAGGUAGGUCUGGUGUGAAAACUCGAGGCUUAACCUCGAGAUGUCAUCGGAAACCAUCUGGCUAGAGUCCGGAAGAGGAGAGUGGAAUUCCUGGUGUAGCGGUGAAAUGCGCAGAUAUCAGGAGGAACACCAAUUGCGAAGGCAGCUCGCUGGGACGUUACUGACGCUGAGGAGCGAAAGCGUGGGGAGCAAACAGG